CAGUGCGAUGCCAGUAGCACCCUCAACUGUGAAAAUAAAAAAUGUCUCCAGACAUCGCCACUUGUUUCCUGAGGGCUAAAUUACCAGUUGUUGUAAACUACUGUUUUACAUACUUUUUGGUUUUUUAAUCUCUAAAGAGAGGAGUUGUGAAAAGAUGUGUCUUUUCCAGCUCUGAUAUUCUCUGACCUGUCCAGCUAUGCUCACAAAAUUGAUGAGAAACUCUAUCUGUUCUUAUCAGAUGCAGAUAAGAAACGUGGGAAGCCACAAGAAAGCCAAGUAGCCUGGGAAAAAGUGGUCAUUGAGCCAUGAGAAAAAAUUAACAUUUGAUCCUGUUGGUGCCACCUGAAGGCAGAGAUGGCUGAGGACCCCCGAGUCUCCAUCCAUGUUGCUGCAAAUGAUAGAAUCUCAUCUUUUUUUCAAUUGCUGAAUAGUACUCCGAAACAGUGUGUAUUUGGUAAGUGCUGAUAUAUGUAAACACCACUGAAGUCUUCAGCAAAAUCAGAAUAAUGAACAUGUGUCAAUCCCAAAAACUUCUAU
ensembl:lncRNA LINC02392 long intergenic non-protein coding RNA 2392